rnacentral:rRNA from 1 species
CGACGCCGCGUGGAGGAAGAAGUCCUUCGGGAUGUAAACUUCUGAACUAGCCGAAUAAAAGGCCUGUGGACACACAGGAGAAGAAAGUAGGCUAGGAAAAGUCCCGGCUAACUACGUGCCAGCAGCCGCGGUAAU